GAACAGCGAGUUCCCCACAGCAAUUAUGUUUCUGGCGUUUUGCUCCGGCUGGAACGGUCCCCUCUCCCAGCCCUCUUAUGAAGAUCUAAUACAUGGGACAUGUGUGAUUAGCACUCUCGGCAAAGGGCAGCUGAGCAGGGAUUUCACGAUGAGGCCAGGGAUCGAACCUGCAUCCUCAUAGAUACUAGUCAGGUUCAUUACUGCUGAGCCACUAUAGGAACUCUGGGACUCAGGUUUUUAAAGGAUCCCUCUGGAUGCUGCGGUGAGAGCCCUGAGGGGCCAGGGAAGGAGGAGGGAGACAGUUGUGAGCAAGAGGUGAGGAUGGCGUGGAUUAGGAGGGGGCAUAGCUGAGGGGGGACAGGGUUGCCUGGGGCUCCUCUGUCUCAAGCCCUGAGUUCAAGGAAAGGCACCUGCGGAGGCCCAGUCUGGCUGUGGUCUUCUCUCUUCUCUCCCUCGGGCUGUGCUCCUCUUGGCUGGUCACUCAAAAGCGGCAGUUCUGGGUUUCACCUCCCGUCCUGAUGGGCCCUGGAGCCUCGCUUCCCCAUCAGACACUCCUGGGUGAGCCUGACUCCCUGAAGAUCUGCUCACACCUCUUCUUUGAGCAGCUCUGUCCAUUCCCUUCCACAUCCCCCUUCGUGCCCGCUUUCGGGAUUUCCCUUCUGUAGUCGGAGAGACGGUGCCCACGCUCCUUAGAGGGCCGGCAGGUUGGCUGAUUCUGCACUUCACGCACACACCCGUGCACACACCCGUGCACACACCGCAAUCAACUCCUGUGCGAUCUUGUACCUCCAAGUGUUACAAGCCCCGGCAAGACGGUGAGCUAAUUAGAGAAAAAUCUUAAUUAUAGCCAUAGACACUGUUAUUAUCCUGUAAUUCUUUCCCACAGACCAUAAACUCUCCCAGUGUCAAAGGCCAGUAUUUGUGGAUGUACUUCAGAUUUUUAUCUCCAGCGCGUGAUAAAUUCAGAGCCAGGAUCUCAAUUGACUCCCGUGAGACCUCGGGCUUCUACCAAAGCGUCUCCAUUUGCCUGUCUUUCAACAUCUUCUUCCGACCCUCAAUUUCAGGAGAAUGUGUCAUCACCUUCUUUUUGAGAUGCGCGUUACUAUUUGGUGCUUCUCUUUCACUUUCUUACUUUCAUUGCCUGCCAAGUCCGUCAUGCAAAAUUUAAAAAAUUAUACAUUUACUCAAGUUGGGAUAAAGACAAAGUAUGAGUUCUAUGCUCAUGACUCAGAUUAGUGGGUGGCGAAGGUGUUCUACCAAGUUGUCAGGAGUAGGGUUUUUAGAUGAAAAUGUUGUCUUUAAAACUCAUUUUAGGAAUUCCUGUCGUGGCACAGCAGAAACGAAUCUGGCUAGGAACCAUGAGGCUGUGGGUUCGAUCCCUGGCCUCACUCAGUGGGUUAAGGAUCUGGCGUUGCUGUGAGCUGUGGUGUAGGCUGGCAGCUACAGCUCCAGUUUGACCCCUAGCCUGGGAACCUCCAUAUGCUGUGGAUGUGUCCCUAAAAAGACAGAAGACAAAAAAUAAAAUACAAUAAAAACUUCAUUUUACCAGUUUUGAAAGGUAUGAGAUUCAUAUGGUAUAAAGUUUCAAAGUUGAGGGAGUUCCUAUUGUGGUUCAGCGGGUUAAGGACCUGAUGUCUCUGUAAGGAUGAGGGUUUGAUCCCUGGCCUCGCUCAGUGGGUUAAGGAUCCAACGUUGCUGCAAACUGUGCUGUAGAUCACAAAUGUGGCUCAGAUCUGGCUUUGCUGUGGCUGUGGUGUAGGUCGCAGCUGCAGCUCUGAUUUGACCCCUAGCCUGGGAACUUGGACAUGCUUCAGCUGUGGCCCUAAAAAGAAAAAAAAAAAGGCAAUUCAAAGAUGAGAAAGGCAUUGGGUGGAAAAGUUGUCUCUUUUUCAACCCAGCUUCACUUCCCAGGGCUGCUGCUGUUGUCAGAUUCUGGCACCAUUUGCAGAGACAGACCAGGUGUCUAUAAACAGAUGGGUAAUGCAGUGCUUCCUGGUGGGUUUGCCCAGGGUGCGAGCAGCAGGGUUGCUCGGUGCUUACUUGAUGUCAAAGGAAGGCAUAAUUCAUGAGAUAAAGAAGAGAAAAGGCCAAGACAACACAAGGCCAGUAAUGUGAGCAGCAUUAUAAACUGACACCGAUAUUCAUUGUAUUCAGGACACUGUUUUUUAAAAAUUUUUGGCUGAGUGAUUGUUUAUAAAACAGUUUAUACCACAGGCUGAAUAAAAACACCUCAAACCUCUUUUUUUUCCCAAAUGAUUUAUCCCAAUAGAAAAAGAAUAUAGAUGGAUAAAUGCAAUCAAUCAUUGUGCUGUAUACCUGAGACUGCCAUUGUAAAUCAGCUAUACUUCAAUUUAAAAAGUAUCCAGAUAACUAAAUGAGAAUAAAAGAGGUAUGAUUUACUGAGUGCUUAACAGUCAACAAGCACUCUGCCUGUGUUGCUGUAUUUGAGCCCCACAGCUAACCUUCUAAUGCCACCGGUGUGUAAUUAACCCUGCUUUCUAGAUGAGGAAGGUGACUUUGGCCAGAGAAGGUCACUGAAGCCAGAUCUCACAGCUGAAAAUCUGGUGGCCUGGGCUUAGAGCCUGGGCCUCUUCUCCAUCACACCACCUGCCUGGGAAGCGGUAGAGGCUCUUCUGGUGGGGCAGAGCUACGGCGUGGAGGUCGUCCUGCACCGAGCUUUCUUUCCUUUCUCGCAAGAAGGCUCAUGGUGUCUCAGACCUACGGCUGAGAAAAGAACAAAGGGCAGGGGCAUUUUGCAAAGUGAGAGGCCUGCGUGGUUGUGUUCUGAAGGAGUCUCUCCCCUCCUCCUAACUUUUUCACUUUCCCGUCUCACUUAUCUCUGUAUUAGCAAGUGUCAAAAUCAGUCUUGGGUGUUUGGGAAGCCAAACUGGAUUCUUAAGUCUCCAGUGAGCAAAUUCCUUGGCAGUGGGAAGGGUGGUCACUGCAGUGAUAAAAGGGAGGAUGGCGAGGACAUCAAGGAGAGAGUGUUCUAGAAUGGCAGAGUUUCCCCAGGCAGGUGGCCGUGGCCGUGCGGGGAAUGAGUUGCAGACGUGACCUUCAUUCCUAAGACCUCAGUACGUCCUCCAUACAAGGACGCUUUCCUGCACGUGACGUUCCGUGGUCAAAGUCAGGCAAUCAACGUUGGUACGUUUGCACCUUCACACCCUCCAGAUCCGGGCGAGCAUCCGCGCAUCCUCUCAAUGGAUGCCUGUUUCAUGCUGCCCAUGGUUUGAUUCAGGUGAUGCAUCUGGGGCAGGAAUCUCACAGAAAUGAUGCUGCCUUUCUCAGAGCCCCUAUCAGGAGGCACACAUUGGCAGGAUGCUUCAUUCCUGCGGAUGCUACCACUACUUAUCACUUGACUAAGAUGAUGUUUGUCAGGCUUUGCUGAUAACAAAUUUGUGGACAAAUUAACAUAUAUAUAUAAUGGGGAGUUCCCGUCAUGGUACAGAGGAAACGAAUCCGACUAGGAACCAUGAGGUUGCAGGUUCGAUCCCUGGCCUCACUCAGUGGGUUAAGGAUCCAGCGUUGCUGUGGCUGUGGCGCAGGUCGGCAGCUGUAGCUUGGAUUAGACCCCUAGCCUGGGAACCUUCAUAUGCCAUGGGUACGGCCCUUAAAAAAGACAAAAGACAAAAAAAAAAUGUAUAAUGGAUUUAUUGAUUACUAACUAAUAAAUAUCCCACGGGUGAUACGUUAGACCAUGUAAACAUUUUAUUCCUCAUCAGACUUGAUCCCUCCAGAUUUACCAUCUGUUGACGAUUUUUGCCUGAAUUGAUUAUUGCUGUCUUGCUUGCCAAACACAGAUUUUCUAAUUCUAUGAUUUCUUUUAGAUUUGUUAGUUGGCAUUCUACUGUAAGAGAGAGCUUCUCUUUCUCUUUUAUUAAGUAAUUACUGUUUGAUCUAUAAUAGAGUCCCACUUUACGCAGAGACUUUUCAUUCAUUGCUACUAAUUCUUCUUUUGCUCAAGCUGUCUCAGACUUGGAGAUCACUCCUUAAGCGUUUCCGUAUUUUUUGGUGUAAUAAGAUAUUUCAGUCUAACUAAUUUUCCCUUGCCAUAGUCCGGGAGUCAACCAUUUUUAAUGGUUGUCAGUGAAUUCCUGGAGGAGGUAUGUCAAAAUCUCCCACUAUGAUAGUGAAUAUUUUUGUUUCUUUUUGUAAUUUUGUCAGUUUUUGUUUUCUACAAUUUUUUAGCUCAGUUUAUGGGGGACAUGUGCUUAGUGAAUAGCAUUUGUAGAAUUCUGUAGUAACCUCAUUUCCAGUAACAUGUUUUUGUCUUAAGGUUUAGUUUAUCUGUUAUCAAUUAUACGUCCUAGUUUAUUUUUUGUUUACUGUUUUUCUGGUAUUUUUAAAAUCUUCUAGCUUCAAUGUUUUUGUAGUCAUAAAAUUUCAUGUUUCUCUCAUAAAAAAGACGCAGCUGGAUUAAAAAAAACUGAUCUAAAACAUGUAAUUUAUAAUAUAAAUUUGAUAGUGAUAUAAUUUGGUAUUGAAUUUAAACUCGAGGCAGCCAGUCCUCUUUUCAAAUUGUACUAGGUGGUAUUAUUGGAUUUAUUUCUAACAUCUUCAUUUGUUCUGUUUAUUCUAAUUUUUCUGUUUUCUCCCUCUUUUCUUGCUUUCUUUGAAUUUAAAAUUGAGUUGUUUUUCUUAUUCCAUUUCUCCUCCUCUGCUGGCUUGUUAGUUAUAUACUUUAUUUCUCUGCUCUUUGUGUUUACUCUGUAAAUUACUUUUAAAGUGACUAUCGACUAUUUCAAAAUCUUGACUGUUCUACGGGCACCAGAACAGCUCAGCUCCAAUUAUUCCUCUCCCAAAUGACAUCAUAGAGAUCCGUUCUAUCUUAAUAAAAACCUUUAAUCUCCUAAGACGCUAUCGUUCUUUUACGUAGCCAAUCUUCUUGGAUUGAUUCGUCUACAUACUUUUCAGUGUCUUCACCUAUAGUUUUUCUCACUUCACACCAUCAGUGUGUAGUAACUGUCCUUCCAUCUAAAGCACAUUCAUUACACUUUCCUCUGGUGAAGUUUUGUUGGUGGUAAAUGUUCUCAGUUUUUCAUUAUCUGAAAACGACCAUUCUUGAAAGCUGUUUUUUUUUUUUUCCUCCCAAAAGACCUAAGAUCUUAUUUACUGUUAUUUUCUCCCAGCUUAUUGAAGCUAUCAUUCUGCUGCCUUCUAGCUUCUUAAAAUUGCUCUUAGGAAAUCAGUUGUCCCUCCAAUUUGUCAUCCUUUUGAAGUUGGUUGCCUUUUAUUUCUUUGUCUUUAGUGAACUGAAAAUUACACUCUGAUUUGUUAGGUGUGGGUUUCUUUUCAUCCAUCCUGGUUUGGAAUGCAUUCAGCGAUUAUCUUUUCAAAUAUUGUAAACCUCUGUUCUUUUUUCCCUACAGAACUAUGAUUACCUGUAUGUCCAUUACCUGUAUGUUUCACUACAUUCUGCAUGCUUCUUAACUUCUCUUUUCCAAUUUUAAGUGUCUCUUCUCUGGCGAUUUCUUCCAAUCAAUCUUUGAGCUCACUUAUUCUAUCUUUAGCUGUGUCUAAUCGAAGUUUUAGUUCGAAUUAUUGGAAUUUUAUUUACAUAAGUCAACUUUUUUUCUAAAUCUCCUAUUUCAUAUUUAUAAUCUCUUGUACCUAAUACAAAUCUUUAAUUUUCUUUCAUUUCCUUAAGUUUAUAGACUAUAAAUUUUAUCCACUAUGCCGGAUGAUUCAGUUGCUGAAAUCUUUGCAGGUCUGACUCAUUUGAUUAAGAAUUCUGCUUUCUCUGGGUCAUGUUGCUUUGUUUCCUUUUGUGUUUUGUAAUACUUACGAGUGAGCUCCUUCCUUGGAACUUUAUUUAUUUUUAGGAAUCUGUUGAGACCUGGCAACUGGUGGCUGCACCAGAAGAGACGUGCACACACUUCUGCAGAGGCUGAAGAGGAUUGCCAACUUCAAGCCAUUUUAACCUUAACUAUCAGUUUAAUAAGAGUUUUCACACCAUCCAGGUGGUGUGAUUUCAGACUUCAAACUGUGUGAGGGCUAGUUUAUUAUUACAAAUUUUCAGAGUGGACCUUUUCCCCCUCUUUGCUAAGUACCAGUUUUGGGGACAGUCAAGCCCUGUCAGCUCCUUUUGCUGGCAGCAGCUUUAUUUCUGCUUUAUCCAUAUACUUAUAGGGUCCUACUUUAUACACUGAGUGGAGAUCUCUAUUCAAUUUAUCUCCUUGAGAGGUUCUGUUGCCUAAAUAUCACUGCCUCUGUACAGUGAUGCUAAAUAGUGAUGUGGAGACUGAGUGGGGAGAAACAGAAAAGCCUGCUUUAAUUGCCACGGAAAGAGGGAACACCACAGGCUAGUUCCUCAAGGACUGUGACCCCCUUAGAGGGGGGAGCGAGGAGUCUUGUAGUGUUUAAGGAGCAGGAUGUGGUCAGUCAUGGAUCUUUUCCUGACUGGGAAUCAGUAUCUUCACCUUCCGGUUCCAUCCAGUCUGGGGUCUACAUGCUUGUGGGCAGCACACAGUUGACUUCUUCUGCUGGAUGAAGGUUUCACUAUCUGCAAAACAGCUCCAAGGACAUGGCUCAGAAUACUCUCUAUAGUCAUUGAUGAAGAACUAAAUGUCCUUGACUUUGUUGAAUGGUUAAACUAUUACUAUUCUGUCUGACUUCAUUCUUUUCCUUUUCCCCUGUAUGUUCUCACUUCUCUGAGUCAAUUGAUUCUUUGGCUGAAGAGACAGAUGGACAGGAGGGGAGGGGUCCACCCUGGGAAGACCUCACAGGGUCCUGCUUGGUUACAGUUCCUGGAAGUUUUCUCUGGUUCACUACAUUGCCUGAGGCCAUGGGAGCUGAGGCUCUUGUUCACUUUGACUUUAUCAAUGCCCUUAAAUGCUGCUUUCAUGCUCCAACUACCUCUUGGAGUGGCCAAUUCUGUUGCGUUAGCGCUGUUGUAUUAUUUGUGCUAUAACAUCACCACAAAUCAAUCUAGGGGUUAAAACAGCAAAAAGCUGCCCUUGCAGUUCUGGAGGCUGGAAGUCCAAAGUCAAAGUGUCAGCCAUACCCCCUCCAGAGGCCCCAGGAUGGACCCCUUCCUUGCCCCUUCCUAGCAUCUUUGACGUGCUGGCAUCUCUAGAUGCCUUGGCUGUGGUAGCACAGCUCUAUUCUCUAGCUCCGUCUUCACAUGGCCAUCUUCCCUCUGCGUCUGUGUCUCUGUGUGUCUGAGUUUCCCUCUUCUUACAAGAACCCCGGCCGCUGGGUUGGGACCCACUCUAAUCCAGUGCAACCUCAUCUUGACUUGAUUACACCUGCAAAGACCCUAUUUCCAAAUAAGCUCAUAUUCACAAGGUCUGGGUGGCAUGACAUUUGAGAGGACAUGACUCCAUCCAGAAUACAUGUCUAGAGUUUUUGUGAGCUGAUCAAUGCAUUUAAAAAUAUUUAAAUUAUUCCAGAGUUCCCAUUGUGGCUCAGUGGGAAUGAACCUGACUAGUAUCCAUGAGGAUGCGAAUUCAAUCCCGGCCUUGCUCAGUGGGUUAAGGAUCUGGCAUUGCUGUGGCUGUGGUGUAGGCUGGCAGCUGUAGCUCCAAUUCAACCCCUAGCCUGGGAACUUCCAUAUGCUGCAGGAGUGGCCCUAAAAAGAAAAAA
rnacentral:lncRNA from 1 species